GACGAACGCUGGCGGCGUGCUUAACACAUGCAAGUCGAACGGAAAGGCCCUGCUUUUGUGGGGUGCUCGAGUGGCGAACGGGUGAGUAACACGUGAGUAACCUGCCCUUGACUUUGGGAUAACUUCAGGAAACUGGGGCUAAUACCGGAUAGGAGCUCCUGCUGCAUGGUGGGGGUUGGAAAGUUUCGGCGGUUGGGGAUGGACUCGCGGCUUAUCAGCUUGUUGGUGGGGUAGUGGCUUACCAAGGCUUUGACGGGUAGCCGGCCUGAGAGGGUGACCGGCCACAUGGGGACUGAGAGACGGCCCAGCCCCCAAGGGGGGGCAGCGGGGGGAAAUAGGGCACAGGGGGGGGAAGCCGGAGGCAGACCCGCCGGGGGGGGAAGGACGGCCUUGGGGUUGAAAACCGCUUCCGCCGGUGAAGAAGCGGGGGUGACGGUAAUGGAAAAAGAAGAACCGGCUAACUGCGUG
rnacentral:rRNA from 1 species